GAAGCCAUGAGGCUGCUACCAUGACCGCGAGUCCGGAAAGAAGUGGAGGUGAGUGGGAAACGACCAAAUGCAAACCCACGGCCGAGCCAGUGAGGGAAACAGCCCUUCCCCAAAGAAGCAAGUCGGGGCAGUCGAUCUCGUCCACUUUUAAUAGGCGUUCGAGGAGGCACGAGGUGGAGGAGAAGUAUGCUCCAGAGAAGGCUUAAAGAGCACAACCACAGGAAGCCGUCCUGUCAUUGAGAGAUUCAAAAAUAAAGCCUAAAAUGGGA